UGGGGAAUAUUGCACAAUGGGGGAAACCCUGAUGCAGCGACGCCGCGUGAGCGAAGAAGGUUUUCGAAUCGUAAAGCUCUGUCCUAUGGGAAGAUAAUGACGGUACCAUAGGAGGAAGCCCCGGCUAACUACGUGCCAGCAGCCGCGGUAAUACGUAGGGGGCAAGCGUUGUCCGGAAUCACUGGGCGUAAAGGGUUCGCAGGCGGAAAUGCAAGUCAGUUGUGAAAGGCAGAGGCUCAACCUCUGUAAGCAAUUGAAACUGUAUUUCUUGUGAUGUGGAGAGGCAAGUGGAAUUCCUAGUGUAGCGGUGAAAUGCGUAGAUAUUAGGAAGAAUACCGGUGGCGAAGGCGACUUGCUGGACACAAACUGACGCUGAGGAACGAAAGCGUGGGUAGCAAACAGG
rnacentral:rRNA from 1 species